GACGAACGCUGGCGGCGUGCUUAACACAUGCAAGUCGAACGGAAAGGCCCUACUUUUGUGGGGUUCUCGAUUGGCGAUCGCGUGAUUGACACGUGAGUAACCUGCCCUUGUCUUUGGGUUGACUUCACUUAGCUGAGGCUAAUACCAGAUCGUAGCUCCUGCUGCAUGGUGGGGGUUGGAACGUCUCGGCGGGCGGGGAUGGACUCGCGGCUUAUGAGCUUGUUAGUGGGGUAGUGGCUUACCAAGCCUUUGACGGGUAGCCGGCAUGAGAGUGUGACCGGGAACAAUGGGACUGAGAGACGGCCCAGACGGGUACGGGAGGCAGCGGUGGGGAAUAUUGCACAAUGGGAGGAAGCCUGAUGCAGAAACGCCGCGUGCGGGAAGACGGCAUGCGGGGUGUGAACAGCUGUAGCCUGUGACGAAGCGGGAGUGACGGUAAUGGGUAAAGAAGCACCGGCUAACUACGUG
rnacentral:rRNA from 1 species